GAUGAACGCUGGCGGCGUGCCUAAUACAUGCAAGUCGAGCGAACAGACGAGGAGCUUGCUCCUCUGCCGUUAGCGGCGGACGGGUGAGUAACACGUGGAUAACCUACCUAUAAGACUGGGAUAACUUCGGGAAACCGGAGCUAAUACCGGAUAAUAUAUUAAACCGCAUGGUUCAAUAGUGAAAGACGGUUUUGCUGUCACUUAUAGAUGGAUCCGCGCCGCAUUAGCUAGUUGGUAAGGUAACGGCUUACCAAGGCAACGAUGCGUAGCCGACCUGAGAGGGUGAUCGGCCACACUGGAACUGAGACACGGUCCAGACUCCUACGGGAGGCAGCAGUAGGGAAUCUUCCGCAAUGGGCGAAAGCCUGACGGAGCAACGCCGCGUGAGUGAUGAAGGUCUUCGGAUCGUAAAACUCUGUUAUUAGGGAAGAACAAAUGUGUAAGUAACUAUGCACGUCUUGACGGUACCUAAUCAGAAAGCCACGGCUAACUACGUG
rnacentral:rRNA from 1 species